GCGCUGCCGUUCCUUGCCCGCACGGCAGGGCUCGGGCUGGCAGCGCCGCAGCGCUUCUGACCGGUAAUUCUGGGUACGCUGAGUUAAGCGUGCAAAUGACCACGGACGUGACUCAGACCGAGUCGUCCAUCUCCAAGCUGCAAAGCCAGGUUGCUCCCUGGCGGAGAUGGUGCUCCGAAACCCAGGGGGACUUGACCUACUACUGCUGCCACGGGGACGCCUGUGUGCCGUUUUUAUGCUAAUAACUCUGGGGUCAUCGGAGUUCCUAAGAAUCUUGAGUCUAGACGCCUGGAGCAGAGUCAAAGAAAGAACGGGUACCAGUCUGUUUAAUUCCUCCCCGUGGCUAACCAGCCUUAUUACACCCCUUAUAGGACCCUUGCUCCUCCUUCCCCGCGCCCUUACUGUAGGCCCUAGCAUCGUCUCUGAGCUUGUUCGCCUCAUCCGUUGUGUGAGUGUGUGUAAAGAUCUUUGCGAACCUUAAAGUAUUAAAUGACUGAUUUUUUUUUUUAACCUAAAAUGGCUUCUUCAAAUGUGAACUACUUUUAACCAAUGAAAGUGCAAACCCAGGAAAAAAACUGUCACUUUUAAUUACGUUGGCUCAGUCAGACCACAGACAAUGAAUAUACGUGCAAUUAUGGGCCUUUCUGUAAAAGCAAUUGUUUUUCUUUAAAAAACGUUUUGUUAUUGCAUUUGUUUUUUUUUUUUUUUUGCAUUUAUGUUCUUAAGUCUCGCGAGAGUGACCUGUACAUACAAGCGUUUUCAGAUCACUUUCUCCUUCCGCCACCGCCUGAUUUUUACGGAGUUAGCGCAAGGAGGGAAAGGGACUUUACAAGCAUCCUCUCUCCCCCGAAAACAAGAAGAAGGCGGCCUUCGUUGUGCCGGUGUGGGGGAGUGAGACGAUGACGCGAGAGCUGGGGGCGGAGAAACUCGCCUCGCGCAGAGCCACGAGGAAUCGCGGAGGGGAAGAGCGGGCAGUGAACGCCAGACGAGCAGAAGCCCGGAUCUCCGCCAGGGGGCGUACCCAUUCUGGCCCAGCUACGCCCCCUAACUCGUACUGAUGUCAAUAAAGUCUAUUCUACUGCCUCAGGCUCUAAUUUGUCAGCUGGCGCGGAAGUUCACGGACUGCCCACUGGCGGACCUAGAUUAUGCAUCUCUAUUGGUUAUUUUGGCCUUCAAACAAGAACUAACGCUGCCCCCUCUUCCUCCUCCGCCUCCUGCCUGCUUUUUCUGUCACAUUUAUUGGUCGUCAGGCGUAGGCUCCGCCCUAAUUCCCGCCCCCCAACUAGUGUACACUUUAUUCUGAACCGAGUAAGGGAAAAGGCCGGAAGUGAUGUAUCCGCUGCGCGAAGUUUGAAUUUUAAGCCCUGGACAGCGGUUAAGGGGCGCCUGCCUAGAGGCAGCCGGUGGCUGCGGGUGCGAAGGAUUGAGUCCGCUUCCUGCUCUCCAGCUUUCCCCGGCUCUGCCCCCUCCUCCGAUCUCCUCUCCUUCCCCGGGCUGGCCCGCGCCUUCCGGACCGCAAGCCAGUCGGUCAGAGCGGCCUCCCUCAGCGCGAGGCGCCCGGAGAAGGGAGGGGAGGAAGGAAGGAAAAAGGGAGCUUCGAUGCCUGCGCGCUGCCCCCACCUGCCAGGACCAUGAGACCGGACCGUCGCAAAUCCACCCCUCGGAAGCGCCUCUCGACCUCGUCUCAGCCGCGCGCCUCCACCUCCACGGCCGCCCCCGCAGGCCCUUCUCGCCGCCGCCGCUUUCCCGGUAGAAGGGGCCAUCGAGUGCUCAGGGAGAUCCGAAAGCUACAGAAAAGCACAAACCUGCUGAUCAGGAAGGCACCCUUUGGCCGACUAGUGAGCAUCAGGGAGAGCCCCGUCCUAACCCUGCGGUUCCUGUUAGAGAAAUAUGCCUCCGAUACACUCGAGGAGUGGACUUUUACUGGCAAGCUCAGGCCUUACUGGCCCUACAGGAGGUUUUGCAGCUGGCUCUCUGCACUAUAAUACUCUGCUUAUCAAAUUCACCCCAGGUGUGGAAAUGGGAAUAGGAACAAUGGGAAGAAAUAGAGAAGUGACCUUCAAGCUUCCUAACUAGGAGGGAGGAGAGCUACUAUGGAGCAGUAGAAGAUAUAGCAGACAGUGGCAUUGAUGGGCGGUAGUGACAGGUGACACCUGGAUGUCUGCAGGAUUGCUGCAGAAGAUAAGCAUUGUGACAAAGCAGCCAUGAAAGGUAGCACUGAUGGAAGUCCUAUGCAGGGUAAUAAUGGAUGUCACAGAGACUCUGCAAGUCCCUGUGGGGAGGGAAGGGUCACUGGAGGGUAUUAUUUUUUAGUGGCUCAGAUGCAAAUCUCAUUUUUUUCUAUUAAUUUUAAAAAUAAAACCAUUCUGU